CUAAGUCAGAAUCCCGCCUGCAAAGCGACGAUGCAUUCGUGCCUCGGCCUCGAGAGGCGUAGCUAGACGGCCGCGUGGCCGUGGAAAGAGCCCGAUUCCGACCCGAGAGGCCGCGGCAAGAGGCGGCCUCGAAGUCGGUGGAUCCUCCUGCUCGAAAGGCGGGGUGCUAAACCAUUCGCAGACGACCUAGUUGAAGAUCGGGGUGUCGUGAUCACUAGAGCAGUACAUCUCACUGCGAUUUGUUGAGAGUAAGCCUCAAGAUCUGUCGGUUUGU
rfam:Ciona savignyi cont_51079, whole genome shotgun sequence.